rnacentral:rRNA from 1 species
UACGUAGGGGGCAAGCGUUGUCCGGAAUCAUUGGGCGUAAAGCGCGUGUAGGCGGCUAGAUAAGUCUGCUCUGAAAGCCCGGGGCUCAACCCCGGGAGGCGGGUGGAUACUGUCUAGCUCGAGUCCGGAAGAGGAGUGUGGAAUUCCUGGUGUAGCGGUGAAAUGCGUAGAUAUCAGGAGGAACACCUGCGGUGUAGACGGCUUACUGGACGGUAACUGACGCUGAGGCACGAAAGCGUGGGUAGCAAACAGG